UGGGGAAUUUUGGACAAUGGGGGAAACCCUGAUCCAGCCAUCCCGCGUGUGCGAUGAAGGCCUUCGGGUUGUAAAGCACUUUUGGCAGGAAAGAAACGUCGCGGGUUAAUACCCCGCGAAACUGACGGUACCUGCAGAAUAAGCACCGGCUAACUACGUGCCAGCAGCCGCGGUAAUACGUAGGGUGCAAGCGUUAAUCGGAAUUACUGGGCGUAAAGCGUGCGCAGGCGGUUCGGAAAGAAAGAUGUGAAAUCCCAGAGCUUAACUUUGGAACUGCAUUUUUAACUACCGGGCUAGAGUGUGUCAGAGGGAGGUGGAAUUCCGCGUGUAGCAGUGAAAUGCGUAGAUAUGCGGAGGAACACCGAUGGCGAAGGCAGCCUCCUGGGAUAACACUGACGCUCAUGCACGAAAGCGUGGGGAGCAAACAGGAUUAGAUACCCUGGUAGUCCACGCCCUAAACGAUGUCAACUAGCUGUUGGGGCCUUCGGGCCUUGGUAGCGCAGCUAACGCGUGAAGUUGACCGCCUGGGGAGUACGGUCGCAAGAUUAAACUUAAAUGAAUUGACGGGGUCAUAGCUGUUU
rnacentral:rRNA from 1 species